AAAGAAAGAGGGAGGAAGGCCUAACACAUGCAAGUCGAACGAGACCUUCGGGUCUAGUGGCGCACGGGUGCGUAACGCGUGGGAACCUGCCCUUAGGUUCGGAAUAACUCCCCGAAAGGGGUGCUAAUACCGGCUAAUGUCUUCGGACCAAAGCUUUCUCGCCUUUGGAUGGGCCCGCGUUGGCUUCGCUCGUUGGUCGGGUCCCCGCCUACCCAGGCGACGAUCCCUCGCUGGUCUGAGAGGAUGAUCAGCCACACUGGGACUGCGACACGGCCCAGACGCCGACGGGAGGCAGCAGGGGGGAAGAGGGGACAAGGGGCGAAAGCCGGAUCCAGCAAUGCCGCGUGAGUGAUGAAGGCCUUAGGGUUGGAAAGCGCUGGGACCCGGGAGGAGAAUGACAGGACCGGGAGAAUAAGCGCCGGCUAACUCCGUG
rnacentral:rRNA from 1 species